CAGUCGCCGCGGGAAUACGUAGGGUCCGAGCGUUGUCCGGAAUUACUGGGCGUAAAGAGCUCGUAGGUGGUUUGUCGCGUUGUUCGUGAAAACUCACAACUCAAUUGUGGGCGUGCGGGCGAUACGGGCAGACUGGAGUACUGCAGGGGAGACUGGAAUUCCUGGUGUAGCGGUGGAAUGCGCAGAUAUCAGGAGGAACACCGGUGGCGAAGGCGGGUCUCUGGGCAGUAACUGACGCUGAGGAGCGAAAGCGUGGGGAGCGAACAGGAUUAGAUACCCGAGUAGUCCCUGUCUCUUAUAC
rnacentral:rRNA from 1 species